rnacentral:rRNA from 1 species
GACGAACGCUGGCGGCGUGCCUAAUACAUGCAAGUCGAGCGAAUCAAUAGGAGCUUGCUCCUGUUGGUUAGCGGCGGACGGGUGAGUUACACGUGGGCAACCUGCCUGUAAGACUGGGAUAACACCGGGAAACCGGUGCUAAUACCGGAUAAUCCUUUUCCUCUCAUGAGGAAAAGCUGAAAGUCGGUUUAGACUGACACUUACCGCUGGGCCCGCGGCGCAUUAGCUAGUUGGUGAGGUAAUGGCUCACCAAGGCGACGAUGCGUAGCCGACCUGAGAGGGUGAUCGGCCACACUGGGACUGAGACACGGCCCAGACUCCUACGGGAGGCAGCAGUAGGGAAUCUUCCACAAUGGACGAAAGUCUGAUGGAGCAACGCCGCGUGAGCGAUGAAGGCCUUCGGGUCGUAAAGCUCUGUUGUUAGGGAAGAACAAGCACCGGAGUAACUGCCGGUACCUUGACGGUACCUAACCAGAAAGCCACGGCUAACUUCGUGCCAGCCGCCGCGGUAA